rnacentral:rRNA from 1 species
AUUGAACGCUGGCGGCAUGCCUUACACAUGCAAGUCGAACGGCAGCACGGGAGCAAUCCUGGUGGCGAGUGGCGAACGGGUGAGUAAUAUAUCGGAACGUGCCCAGUAGUGGGGGAUAACUGCUCGAAAGAGCAGCUAAUACCGCAUACGACCUGAGGGUGAAAGGGGGGGAUCGCAAGACCUCUCGCUAUUGGAGCGGCCGAUAUCAGAUUAGCUAGUUGGUGGGGUAAAGGCCUACCAAGGCAACGAUCUGUAGUUGGUCUGAGAGGACGACCAGCCACACUGGGACUGAGACACGGCCCAGACUCCUACGGGAGGCAGCAGUGGGGAAUUUUGGACAAUGGGCGCAAGCCUGAUCCAGCAAUGCCGCGUGCAGGAAGAAGGCCUUCGGGUUGUAAACUGCUUUUGUCAGGGAAGAAAUCCUCUAGGUUAAUACCCUUGGGGGAUGACGGUACCCGAAGAAUAAGCACCGGCUAACUACGUGCCAGCCGCCGCGGUAACAC